UACGUAGGGUGCGAGCGUUGUCCGGAUUUAUUGGGCGUAAAGAGCUCGUAGGCGGUUUGUCGCGUCGGCCGUGAAAUCUCCACGCUUAACGUGGAGCGUGCGGUCGAUACGGGCAGACUUGAGUUCGGUAGGGGAGACUGGAAUUCCUGGUGUAGCGGUGAAAUGCGCAGAUAUCGGGAGGAACACCGGUGGCGAAGGCGGUUCUCUGGGCCUGUACUGACGCUGAGGAGCGAAAGCGUGGGGAGCGAACAGG
rnacentral:rRNA from 1 species